GGCGGCAUGGCUGAGUGGUAAGGUGGAGGACUGUAAAUCCUUUUUCCCUAGUACAAAUCCAGGUGUCGCUU